rnacentral:misc_RNA from 1 species
CCCCGACAUAAGUUUCUGGUAAAUCAGGCACUUUGACCGGCGCCGGCGGCGGAGGAACACCCUUGUCUAACCCGAACAAGAAAUCAACAUUAUUCGGCGCCGGUUUGUUGGUCUCAGGAACGUGACUAGGACCAGAAUUCAAGGCCUCAACGAAACGGUCCCUUUCCGAUUUGGAUCCUUCAGACCCAAAACUUGCCGGAGAAGGAUUGACCGGGAAUAAGAAAAGCCGCAUACGAGCAGGUUUAGCGGAAGCUCG